GUGGGGAAUUUUGGACAAUGGGCGCAAGCCUGAUCCAGCAAUGCCGCGUGCAGGAAGAAGGCCUUCGGGUUGUAAACUGCUUUUGUACGGAACGAAACGGUCCUGGUUAAUACCCGGGGCUAAUGACGGUACCGUAAGAAUAAGCACCGGCUAACUACGUGCCAGCAGCCGCGGUAAUACGUAGGGUGCAAGCGUUAAUCGGAAUUACUGGGCGUAAAGCGUGCGCAGGCGGUGCUGUAAGACAGGCGUGAAAUCCCCGGGCUUAACCUGGGAAUUGCGCUUGUGAGUGCAGUGCUGGAGUGCGGCAGAGGGGGAUGGAAUUCCGCGUGUAGCAGUGAAAUGCGUAGAUAUGCGGAGGAACACCGAUGGCGAAGGCAAUCCCCUGGGCCUGCACUGACGCUCAUGCACGAAAGCGUGGGGAGCAAACAGGAUUAGAUACCCUGGUAGUCC
rnacentral:rRNA from 1 species